AUACCUAUUAUGGAUUAUUUAUGUUUUUAUUUCAUUGACUCAGAUAAAUUUUUUGACAGCAUAUGUACAUGAAUCAUACUUAUUUAUAUACUCACAAUGUGUUUCAUCGAAUGACAAAUAUGUAACACUAAUUUCUGUGAUGGUAGAUGGAAAUGAGAUAUCACUAAGUAGGUCAGGGUCACUGUUGAUAAUAUUUCUUUUAAAAUGUUAUCAAGCGAUUAUGUUGUUUCCUUACAUGACAAAAAAACUUACAAAUUUUUUUUAUUUCUUUUUAUUUAAUAUUUCACAUUCACAAUUUGUCUAAUUUGGACAUUUGGUUGAAUUUUUUAGCUGUUUGAUUAUCAUGUGGGUGGCUACCCCCAGCGGGGUACCAUCUUCGUGUUUGUUAGGUUAUAUCCUUUAUGAACUUACAAAUUUGAAGUUACUAUUGAUAAAUGCUUAAGUCAAAUACUCUUCAGGUCUAAAUGGAUUAUUUGACAUGUGGUAAAAAAAGUUUUACUUUCUUUAUAAUUUAAUUUGCUCAGAUUUGUAAUAAAAUAUAAAACUAAUAUUUUGUACAUUAAUUACUUAAAUGAUCAAUUUCGAAACACACUGUUCAGAAUCUAUCACUGUAGACUAAUAACAAUAUUACGUGCCUAUCUUUAUUUAUUUUCUACUAGCACGUCUAGGAGAAUCUACACGUGCAUAUUAUUCUUAGAAUAUUUCUGUCGCUUUUUUACUGGUAGAGCAUAUUCUAAUUAGCGGUACCUCCUAAUUCAUGCGUAGGUCUCGCGUCUAACGUAAACAUCGAUCGAAACAAGUCGCUAGUACAAGACGUAAUUCGUCGCUAUUCUACAAAUAUUUUGAUAGAGCCCAUGCAUUUAUGUAAUUUCUAUUAUAUAUUCAAAUCUUAACUAGGAAUUUUUUUGAAACUAUAAAAAAAAAUACAUUGCACUCUAAUGCAAAAUAACAAGAACAUCAAAAUUUGUUUCUUUCGUGGAAUUGGAAUUUUAUAUAUAUAGAAGAACGAAUAGAAUUCGAAGAAAGAAAUUACACAAAUGACUUUCAAAUAAAUCAACGUUACAUUUUUGAAAAUUAUUUCAAUGAACAAACAGAAUUUGCGUGAAUCUACUAGUUACAGAGAAAACAUGUAAUAGAUAUGUGUAAAUAUUUAUGUUAACAGCAAUUUAAUGAUGUUUGUUGGAAAAUACGAGGAAACCCACAUUUUUCCGAUAAUAAUAGUCACAAUAUCAUUGCCCUGUUUAUGUUUGUAAUAUAAACCCCAUUUGUGAUAUAGAGUGGAAUACCAAUGAGAUUUAAAAUUCAUGUUCGUUUGAUCUGUUCGAUCAUACCUACAAUCGAAUGCGUACUUCGUGAUUGGCUGUUCGUUCGUUACCGAUCCUUGAUAGGUUCGCUCUGUCCACUGCCAGGGAUUUUCUGAGUUUGUUUAUCGCGUUUUUAUAUUCGUUCAGACGUUUCUUCUUGCAGUCUGCGUUUAACUUUAGAAGAGAAUUGACCAGUAAAACGAGCCGAUCGUCACCAUGCGUAUAUUUAUUGUCAAUUAAAAAUCGGUCAGUAUAUCCUUGCAAGUGAGCAAGCCUCCUUACGCGGAAGCAAGGUGGUCAGCCUAAGCAGCGGCGCGCUCAGUGAUCCUCAAUUCGAACGAUACAUGGGCUACAGCUUAGUUCGUACACAAUCGUGGAAGAGAAGAAAUGGUGGAUUGAACAUUAAACCAGCUUACUCGUGGAAAUCCAUAAGAACAUGUCGAAAACUACCAUAUCGUAAUUGCAAGUGGAAAGGAUUACCUUUUCCUCCUUCGAAUCCUUUGCCUCCGCGAAUGACCACAGCAAAAUGACACACGCACCGCGAUUGUCUUGGUGACGAGUAGGUACAAAAAUGCAACAGAUUGUAAUAGACGUUUGACAUUUUUUUGUAAACAAAGCAUGCCUCUUCUCUCCAAAUUCUACCGUAUUGUGUCUUUAUGUUUCUCCAGUAGUAAAAGUCGAAAGGAUUUAAAUCUGAAGACCAAGCAGGUCAAGGCACAGGUCCUUUUCGACUUAUCCACCUGUUUCCAAAGCAGCCGAACCAGUACUGUUGCACUGCUUUGAUAGAAUAAGGUGGUGCAGCAUCUUGCAUGAACUAUUUCUGAAUGCGUGUGGAUUUUCUCUUGCCCAGAAAUUUCUCUGAAACUUCCACGUUGACCGUCAGAAUAACUCUGUUCUUCCAAAACUGGUUUCCCUUUUGCUCCAAAAUGCCUAUAACAUGACUAUGUAGCAAUAGAGAAAUUAUUCCGAAAGAGAUAUUUACAAUACACUUUGCCAAUGCUUUAAACAUCUUCGUAUGACACGUAAUUAUCGAGGAAUUGCAAUGAUAUUUGAGAAGUUCUUUUUGAAAGCAAGGGUAUGGUGAUGAGGAAGCUGUGCACCAGAUGUGUUUAAAGAAAACGGAGACCUAUUUUGCACAAUCUUCAAACCUUAUAUAGCAAGAGAUUUAUUAUUAAGAUUUACAAUACAAUCUAUUUUGCCAGUUUCCAAUAAUAAUUUGUUACUAAAUUG